GCUAGGCGUGGUGGUGCACACCUGUAAUCCUAGUGACUCGGGAGACAGAGGCAGGAGGAUUGCACAUUUGAGGCCAGCCUCAGCAAUUUAGUGAGGCCCUAAGCAACUUAGGACCCUGUCUCAA
rnacentral:sRNA from 1 species